UUAGAAUUGAACAUGCGCAGUGUGUUUAGGGAGUUAUACGCAUGCCCAUCUGAGGCUUUCUUCCUUUUCCGGUGGAGUAUAUGGGAGAUCAUACUAAGCAGUUUUUGUCUACCGUCUGGUUAAUUGUCUCUCAGAUGGACAUUCUUGGAUCUAAGCCUGGAAAGAAGUCAGCUUUGAAGGUCCUGACUCCCAGGGUGAUGCCAUGAAAUGACCCUACCCAAGUUGCCACUGUCUCUCUGGAUGGGAGCCAGACUGAAGACCCAGGGAGCACUCAGAAGCAACCAGAAGUCCUGAGUCCAGCUUAGUCCAGCCAAGCCAAGUUGCCCCAUGGACCCAAAUGUUUGUUCUUGAGAGCCACUGAGAUUUGGAGGUUGGUUGAUACAUAUUAAAACAUGACUAAUAUUUAGAGUUCACUACUGGUCUUUUUAGGUAUAUGAUCCAAUAAAUUCUCCGUAUUACUUUAAUCAA